rnacentral:rRNA from 1 species
CUUGCUCUUAUGGGUGGCGAGUGGCGGACGGGUGAGGAAUACAUCGGAAUCUACCUUUUCGUGGGGGAUAACGUAGGGAAACUUACGCUAAUACCGCAUACGACCUUCGGGUGAAAGCAGGGGACCUUCGGGCCUUGCGCGGAUAGAUGAGCCGAUGUCGGAUUAGCUAGUUGGCGGGGUAAAGGCCCACCAAGGCGACGAUCCGUAGCUGGUCUGAGAGGAUGAUCAGCCACACUGGAACUGAGACACGGUCCAGACUCCUACGGGAGGCAGCAGUGGGGAAUAUUGGACAAUGGGCGCAAGCCUGAUCCAGCCAUACCGCGUGGGUGAAGAAGGCCUUCGGGUUGUAAAGCCCUUUUGUUGGGAAAGAAAAGCAAUCGAUUAAUACUCGGUUGUUCUGACGGUACCCAAAGAAUAAGCACCGGCUAACUUCGUGCCAGCAGCCGCGGUAAUACGAAGGGUGCAAGCGUUACUCGGAAUUACUGGGCGUAAAGCGUGCGUAGGUGGUUGUUUAAGUCUGUUGUGAAAGCCCUGGGCUCAACCUGGGAAUUGCAGUGGAUACUGGGCAACUAGAGUGUGGUAGAGGGUAGUGGAAUUCCCGGUGUAGCAGUGAAAUGCGUAGAGAUCGGGAGGAACAUCCAUGGCGAAGGCAGCUACCUGGACCAACACUGACACUGAGGCACGAAAGCGUGGGGAGCAAAC